AAUCAACGCUGGCGGCGUGCCUCAGACAUGCAAGUCGAACGCGAAAUUUCCCUUCGGGGAGAAAGUAGAGUGGCGCACGGGUGAGUAACACGUAGGUAAUUUGCCUUUGGGUGGGGAAUAACUCAGGGAAACUUGAGCUAAUACCGCAUAAUGCAGCGGCUCGACAUCGAGACAGUUGUUAAAGCGGGGGAUUGGAGCAAUCCGACCUCGCGCCUAAAGAGAAGCCUGCGGCAGAUUAGCUAGUUGGUAAGGUAAUGGCUUACCAAGGCGACGAUCUGUAACCGGCCUGAGAGGGCGGUCGGUCACACUGACACUGACAUACGGGUCAGACUCCUACGGGAGGCAGCAGUCGGGAAUUUUGGGCAAUGGGCGCAAGCCUGACCCAGCAACGCCGCGUGAAGGAUGAAA
rnacentral:rRNA from 1 species